rnacentral:lncRNA from 1 species
AUAUUGAACGAGCUCUUUGCAAAAAAAAAAUCGUUUUUUUCAUGUUGUUUUGCAUAGUGCCGAGUUUCCAUCAUAUUGCGCUCGUGAUCUUCUUCAUGUUUUUUUUUCAAGGGAAGCCCUCAUCUUCGUUUUAGAGUGUUCUACACAGUACGGUACACAACCUUCUUGAGUAUCCAAUUAAAACAGCUUGAUCGAUGUGCUUCAUUUAUAAAAUAGUAUAACUAUAUAUGGCAGUUACUUCCUCC